rnacentral:rRNA from 1 species
CCCAGACUCCUACGGGAGGCAGCAGUAGGGAAUCUUCCGCAAUGGACGAAAGUCUGACGGAGCAACGCCGCGUGAGUGAUGAAGGCUUUCGGGUCGUAAAACUCUGUUGUUAGGGAAGAACAAGUGCUAGUUGAAUAAGCUGGCACCUUGACGGUACCUAACCAGAAAGCCACGGCUAACUACGUGCCAGCAGCCGCGGUAAUACGUAGGUGGCAAGCGUUAUCCGGAAUUAUUGGGCGUAAAGCGCGCGCAGGUGGUUUCUUAAGUCUGAUGUGAAAGCCCACGGCUCAACCGUGGAGGGUCAUUGGAAACUGGGAGACUUGAGUGCAGAAGAGGAAAGUGGAAUUCCAUGUGUAGCGGUGAAAUGCGUAGAGAUAUGGAGGAACACCAGUGGCGAAGGCGACUUUCUGGUCUGUAACUGACACUGAGGCGCGAAAGCGUGGGGAGCAAACAGGAUUAGAUACCCUGGUAGUCCACGCCGUAACGAUGAGUGCUAAGUG